rnacentral:tRNA from 1 species
GUAGUCCUGGCCGAGUGGUUAAGGCGAUGGACUUGAAAUCCAUUGGGGUCCCCCCGCGCAGGUUCGAAUCCUGCCGACUACG